GAUGAACGCUAGCGGCAGGCUUAAUACAUGCAAGUCGUGGGGCAGCAUGAGUAGCAAUACUUGAUGGCGACCGGCAAACGGGUGAGGAACACGUACACAACCUUCCUUCAAGCGGGGAAUAGCCCAGAGAAAUUUGGAUUAAAUACCCCCAUAAUAUAUUUGAUAAGGCAUCUUAUUAAUAUUAAAGCUUCGGCACUUGAUGAUGGGUGUGCGGCUGAUUAGAUAGUUGGCGGGGUAACGGCCCACCAAGUCUACGAUCAGUAGCUGAUGUGAGAGCAUGAUCAGCCACACGGGCACUGAGACACGGGCCCGAUCCUACGGGAGCAGCAGUAAGGAAUAUUGGACAAUGGACGAAGUCUGAUCCAGCCAUG
rnacentral:rRNA from 1 species